CCUGUUUGCAGCGUGAUGUGCCUCCGGCUAGCCUGAUAUUCAUACCCGGUUGCGGUAGUUUAAGUGAAAGAAAACCGUGAACGUUCUGGAAUUUCUAGUUAUUUUCAGAAAUAUUUAAAAUUUAAAAGUGUUUAAAGUUCUUCGUAUCUUCUAUAAACAUUACAAUGUUGUUCGGAGACAAAUUAAAAUUUCUGGAGUUCGAGGUUAUUAAAGCAUUGGUUCAAAAAUUGAAAUUCGUUCUAAAAAAAAUGUAAUAGCAUGUAAUGGUAAAAACAAUUCAUUUAAUAUUUUUUGAUAUAGUAAUAGAAGGUUUAGAAUCCCUUGGAAAGUGGGCCCGAGGGCUGCAGUCACCCGACUUCCUCUCGAUCCAGCACUGGUAUUUUUCUAUUUUUUCAUAAUGAAAAAAUACAUACGUAGAAUAAAUGUAUUUAGAGAGAGAAGCCUGUUUUAUGCAGUUUGAAAAUAAAUUUUCUUUUCAGAAAUAAACCACUUUUCUAUAGCACACUUCAAGAAAGGGUAUAGCCGGGUAAGGUAGGCAAAAUGGCCCUUGAACCAAAUUAAAUUCAGAAUGCGUCAUUCGAUAGCAUAUCAAAAGAAAAUAC